UACGUAGGUGGCGAGCGUUAUCCGGAUUUAUUGGGCGUAAAGCGUGCGCAGGCGGACGCUUAAGUCAGCGGUAAAAUUGCGGGGCUCAACCUCGUCGAGCCGUUGAAACUGGGUGCCUUGAGUGGGCGAGAAGUACGCGGAAUGCGUGGUGUAGCGGUGAAAUGCAUAGAUAUCACGCAGAACUCCGAUUGCGAAGGCAGCGUACCGGCGCCCUACUGACGCUGAAGCACGAAGGCGUGGGUAUCGAACAGG
rnacentral:rRNA from 1 species